rnacentral:rRNA from 1 species
GACGGAGGGUGCAAGCGUUGUUCGGAAUUACUGGGCGUAAAGGGCGCGUAGGCGGUCUGUUAAGUCGGGGGUGAAAUCCUGGAGCUCAACUCCAGAACUGCCUUCGAUACUGGCGAUCUCGAGUCCGGGAGAGGUGAGUGGAACUGCGAGUGUAGAGGUGAAAUUCGUAGAUAUUCGCAAGAACACCAGUGGCGAAGGCGGCUCACUGGCCCGG